CGUACGAUACGAGUUUGAUCAUGGCUACAGAACGAACGCUGGCGGCAGGCUUAACACAUGCAAGUCGAACGCUCGUAGCAAUACGGGAGUGGCGGACGGGUGAGUAACGCGUGGGAACGUGCCCUGAGGUACGGAAUAACUGCGGGAAACUGCAGCUAAUACCGUAUGAGCCCCGUGAGGGGGAAAGAUUUAUCGCCUUAGGAGCGGCCCGCGUCGGAUUAGCUAGUUGGUGGGGUAACGGCUUACCAAGGCUUCGAUCCGUAGCUGGUCUGAGAGGACGAUCAGCCACACUGGGACUGAGACACGGCCCAGACUCCUACGGGAGGCAGCAGUGGGGAAUCUUGCGCAAUGGGGGCAACCCUGACGCAGCCAUGCCGCGUGAAUGAUGAAGGCCUUAGGGUUGUAAAGUUCUUUUGCCCGUGACGAUGAUGACGGUAACGGGAGAAUAAGCUCCGGCUAACUUCGUG
rnacentral:rRNA from 1 species